rnacentral:misc_RNA from 1 species
AAAGAAUGUGAAGCCUAGCAAAAGGAGAUCCAAAAAGCAAUCUUAUGAUUGUCAAAGUAGGGAAUGCUCUCCUCAUCCCAGAAAGAGGAAGCAUUCAAAGAGAAACGACCGUUUUGAGGUGAAGAAGGCCGACAAAAAGAAGCGUAGAAGAGAUGGGAGUGUUGGUGCCAAUAGUGACUCUUUGAGCUGCUCAACUUGUGGAAAUGGGAGUACAACCAGCAAUGAGAGUGAAGUUGUUAGGCAUAGGGGCAGGUCCGGAAAGAGGAAAGGA